GAUGAACGCUGGCGGCGUGCCUAAUACAUGCAAGUCGAGCGAACAGACGAGGAGCUUGCUCCUUUGACGUUAGCGGCGGACGGGUGAGUAACACGUAGGUAACCUACCUAUAAGACUGGGAUAACUUCGGGAAGCCGGAGCUAAUACCGGAUAAUAUUUCGAACCGCAUGGUUCGAUAGUGAAAGAUGGCUUUGCUAUCACUUAUAGAUGGACCUGCGCCGUAUUAGCUAGUUGGUAAGGUAACGGCUUACCAAGGCAACGAUACGUAGCCGACCUGAGAGGGUGAUCGGCCACACUGGAACUGAGACACGGUCCAGACUCCUACGGGAGGCAGCAGUAGGGAAUCUUCCGCAAUGGGCGAAAGCCUGACGGAGCAACGCCGCGUGAGUGAUGAAGGUCUUCGGAUCGUAAAACUCUGUUAUUAGGGAAGAACAAACGUGUAAGUAACUGUGCACGUCUUGACGGUACCUAAUCAGAAAGCCACGGCUAACUACGUG
rnacentral:rRNA from 1 species